UACGAAGGGGGCUAGCGUUGUUCGGAUUUACUGGGCGUAAAGCGCACGUAGGCGGGUCGUUAAGUCGAGGGUGAAAUCCUGGAGCUCAACUCCAGAACUGCCUUCGAUACUGGCGACCUAGAGUCCGGAAGAGGUGAGUGGAACUCCUAGUGUAGAGGUGGAAUUCGUAGAUAUUAGGAAGAACACCAGUGGCGAAGGCGGCUCACUGGUCCGGUACUGACGCUGAUGUGCGAAAGCGUGGGGAGCAAACAGG
rnacentral:rRNA from 1 species